AAGACCUUGCGCUUUUGGAGCGGCCGAUGCCUGAUUAGCUUGUUGGUAAGGUAAAAGCUUACCAAGGCUUCGAUCAGUAGCUGGUCUGARAGGACGACCAGCCACACUGGGACUGAGACACGGCCCAGACUCCUACGGGAGGCAGCAGUGGGGAAUUUUGGACAAUGGGGGCAACCCUGAUCCAGCCAUGCCGCGUGAGUGAAGAAGGCCUUCGGGUUGUAAAGCUCUUUCAGCCGGAACGAAACGGUUACGGUUAAUACCCGUGAUUACUGACGGUACCGGAAGAAGAAGCACCGGCUAACUACGUGCCAGCAGCCGCGGUAAUACGUAGGGUGCGAGCGUUAAUCGGAAUUACUGGGCGUAAAGUGUGCGCAGGUGGUUUUGUAAGUCAGAUGUGAAAGCCCCGGGCUCAACCUGGGAACU
rnacentral:rRNA from 1 species